rnacentral:misc_RNA from 1 species
AGCAGCCGCGGUAAUUCCAGCUCCAAUAGCGUAUAUUAAAGUUGCUGCAGUUAAAAGCUCGUAGUUGAAUUUCGGGACCAUCAUGUUGGUCGUGCCUCGGUACGUACUGGCAUUGUUGGUUUCUCCCUUCUGACGAACCAUGAUGUCAUUUAUUUGGUGUCGUGGGAAAUCAGGACUGUUACUUUGAAAAGAUUAGAGUGUUUAAAGCAGGCUCACGCUUGAAUACAUUAGCAUGGAAUAAUGAAAUAGGACGUUUGAUUCUAUUUUGUUGGUUUCCAGGGUCGACAUAAUGAUUAAUAGGGAUAGUUGGGGGCAUUAGUAUUCAAUUGUCAGAGGUGAAAUUCUUGGAUUUAUUGAAGACUAACUACUGCGAAAGCAUUUGCCAAGGAUGUUUUCAUUAAUCAAGAACGAAAGUUAGGGAUCGAAGACGAUCAGAUACCGUCGUAGUCUUAACCAUAAACUAUGCCGACUAGGGAUCGGAUGAUGUUAAUUUUUAAUGUACUCU